rnacentral:rRNA from 1 species
AUACGGAGGGUGCAAGCGUUAUUCGGAAUCACAGGGCGUAAAGGACGCGUAGGCGGGUUGGCAAGUCAGAUGUGAAAUGCUACAGCUUAACUGUAGCACUGCAUUUGAAACUGCUAACCUAGAGUAUGGGAGGGGGAGAUGGAAUUAGUGGUGUAGGGGUAAAAUCCGUAGAUAUCACUAGGAGUACCGAAAGCGAAGGCGAUCUCCUGGAACAUAACUGACGCUAAGGCGUGAAAGCGUGGGGAGCAAACAGGAUUAGAAACCCUAGUAGUCC